rfam:Schistosoma haematobium scaffold650_9, whole genome shotgun sequence.
ACCUUGCUGACGAGUGUCAAGUAGCACGAAACUCGGGUCCAGGGU